GGGCAGUAAAGUAGCAUGGCUUCCUGAUUGCUGUACUGAUCAACAGAAGAAGGGGAUGAAUACUGUUAAAAAGGAUUUAUUUUUAUAUUUGCCAUUCUGCACAAGCACCCCAUGGUUUAAGAACUGCUACACAGACAGAUCUACGAAGAACAGGUAUCUAUGCUGUAUCUGUAAACACAUCAAGAGAAGUACUUUCGUAACAUCAUGAUUGCUUUACAAAACCUGAAGUUAAAAUCUGAGUGCAAAUCAAUUCAUGUUAAAAACUUGUUCAAUUACUGAAUUCCUUUAAAAAUUGCUUCCGAAACUGUGAAGGCUAUUUUCUGGUUCUUGCACUUGUUCUUGUGCUUGAUCUUGUUCUCCUGUCUGUUUCUCCAGGAUUCCGAGUUGUUUUUAUGCCUCCUCCAUCAAGUUCUUCUUUGGCUUUGUUUCUUCUUCCUCUUUUGGGUGAUCUAUUUUCAUCAUUAUCUGAUUUUAACUUUUUGGGUGCUAAGACAUCUGCUGGCAAUUGACAUUUUCUUCUGCGAGAAAUGGAAGCUGGCUGUUGAGCAGGGCUAACCUCCUUUGUAGACUGCUUAUUUUUUUCAGAACCAGUGGAUGCCAAACACUUAUUUUGAGUUUCUGAACUGUUAUCAUUUUCUGGCAAGUUGCCCUUAUCUUGGAGAGAAGUAGAAGUAGCUGCCUCUGAUUUGAAUUCUACCUUUUCCCUCUUGUUUCUCAGCUGCCUAUGGUUUUCCUGGGAUGAAUUAUUUUCCAGGAAUGUACCUUCAGACUCAUUAAGAUUUCCCUUUUGACCUCUGUUGUUGCAGAAGACAUGUUUUUCCCUGAGAAAACUGGAUCUAGUAUCCUCAGAUUUGAAACAAACUGCUUUUUUUCUGCCCAAUCUCAAUGGAUUUUCUUCUGAAGACGGAGUUAUUUCCAGAAGCAUACUCUGCUGUUCCUCUGGAGAUUCAUUCUUACCAUCUUCUGGCAAACCCUGAAGAGACCUAGAGCUAUCAGGCUGUGAAGUGCUAUUUUUUUUCCUUGAGUAGCCUUUCGAAUAAUUCAUUUUUCCUUGGGAAGCAGAUUGUUCAGGAAUCAGGUUUUUAGCUUCCCUAUGAUUAUUCCUUCUACCACUUUCCUUUGAUAAGCUGUGUGUUCCCUGAGCAGAACUUGUGGCUUCUGACAAGAAGGUCAUUUGAUUCCUCCUGCCUCUUCUCAGCUGAUUUUCUUUCAGAGAUGAAGCAACAGUUUCUAAUGGAACGUUAUCCUCUUUAGGAGCCUCUUCUUUAACACUGUUUGCUGGCAAGCCACGUUUUCCUCUAAGAGAAAUUGAAUUAGUUGUGUGUGACACCAGAGCUUCUUUCCUCCUGCCCCUUCCUAAUGGGUUCACUUUUGUGAGGGACACUGGUUCCAAAGGCAUAUUUUGUUCCUCAUUAGUAUUCGCCUCUUUAUCACUGUUUUGUGACAAGCCACACUUCCUCUGGAGAGAAGAUGAACUUUUUGCCUCUGCUGCUAGAUCGAUCUUUUUUCUUUUGUCCCUUGCUGAUGCAUUUGUCUCUGCCUGCAAAGUUUCAUUUCCCAAAGCUGGAUUUUGAUCUUCUUUCACAGUCGUCUUUUUAUCGUCACCUUCUUGCAACCCACGUUUUUUUCUGGUAGAAAGAGAACUCGUCGCUUGUGAUGCUACAGCAACCUCUCGUCUUUUUCCCCGUCUCAGUGGAUUGCCUUCUGUUGAAGAGGGAGUAGCUUCCGAAGGUGGAUCAUGGUCUUUCACAGAACUCUCAUCUUUACUAUGAUCUUCAAUUAAGAUCCGCUGUUUUGUAAAGGUAGAAACAGCUGCUUGUGGAAUGGAAUUAACUUGCUUUCUUCUGCUCCUCCUUACUUGAGAAGAAGGAUUUUCUGAAGUCUCUUGUUGACCAAGUUUGGAAGUCAUUCCUUCCUCAUCCCCAGAUGAACUCCUUUUUUGCCCAAGUGCUUUGGAACUGGUUUGUUCAAGUUCAAAAUUAACUUUUCUAAUUCUACCUCUUCUACACAUCGCUCCAUUGUUUUGUGUUUGAUUCUCUUGCAGAAUUUCAGUUUGCUUUGAUUUCAGAACCUGUUCAUUUUCUGUCUGCUUUUGAUGGCUAUGAACACCACUGUCACUGUUUACAGCAGUAACUGGUGUGGCAGAUUUGUCUAUCUUCCUUUCAUCAACACAACCUGAAGGCUCUUUGGGAGCAGAUUCCUCCAUUUCUGUUUCUGAUUUAAAUUUGAGUGUUACUAGCUCUGAGCUGUUUACAUCUUUAGCAGAUUCAUCAGUCUUUUGCUCUGAAGAGUCCUUCUUGCCUCUCCUGCUCCUAGUUCUGUUUGUUCCUUGCACUGUGCUGUUUGAUUCCAAGACCAGAACAGUAGUUGGCAUUUUGUUUGUUUCUCCAGAAGGUGACUGUGAUUUUAAUCUCUGAGAUGCUUCUCUUGCAUUUGCCUGAGUAUUUUCAGCUUCAUCUCUCAGAGAUGCUUCCCUCUCAUUAUUGGUGGGCGAUUGUGUUUCAGUAACAAUUUCAUCCGAAAUUUCCUUGAUUUUCUGAACGUUCUGUGUAUUUUCAGGUGCCAUCCCGUAACUGUUCGAUUUUACUUCUGUCGAGUGUUUCGUAGCAUUUCUCGAAGACUUAACUCUUUUUUGUGUUAUCUUCAUUUCAACUUUGUUCCUGUUUUCAGAUUCUUUUGCUGAAACAGCCUCAAAAAUCUGCUCAUCCUCUUGUAUCAUCUUUGCAGAUGGUUGUUUACGAAGCCUCCUUGUUGUUGCAUGAAGCUCCUCUGAAGCUUGCUUAAAUUGGUCAUUCUUAGCUCUCCUUCCUCUUUUAGGUGCAAUCGGUUCUUCUGUGUUUUCUACUUUUCUCACUUCUCUAGCCCUCUUCAUAGGCAGUGGAAGCAUUUCUUCACUGUCUCCUGCACUAGCUUCGUUACAUGUAUUUUCAGAGUUUUUAAGAUCUGUUUGCAGUUGACAAUUUUCAUUUUGACUGUUACUAGGUAUACUUUCUGCCUUCAUGUUUUGAAUGUCUUCUUUUAUUAAUAUGUCAUUGAUGAUAAAAUCCUGCAAAGCCAGUUUCAUAGUUGCAGGUUCUUUUUGCAACACUGAAGAAUCUUUGCCACAAGACUCAAGGUUCUCAUCUGGAAGUUUUAACUCCUGUGCUUCUUUCCUUUUACCUCUUCUUGGUCUUUGCAUUUCCAAAGUUGAAACAGUUUCAUCUUUUUUCUCAUCAUUAUGUUUUGAAACGUUUUCUUCUACCGCGCAAGCAUUUGUUCUCCUUCCUCUUCCUAGAUUUUUAGCUACUGAAGUUGAAGUUCUGACCUCUCCCAUCUCUUCUUGGAAGCUCUUUUUCUCCAGACCUUGCAAUUCUUUUAAAUUUAAAUCCUUUUCAGUCUGCUUUAUUGAAGCAGGAUGUACAGUCUUCCUCAAUCUGCUUCUGGUUGGUCUCUGGGUAGACUGGUCUUCACUAGUUGACUUCCUCUGUUGAGAAUCUUCACCUUGUGAAGUAUUCCCUUUGUCUUCUAAAGCGUAUUCAUGACUGCAAUGAGUAGAAGGAGGUACAGUAUCUUCUUGCUUAGGAUCCAUAACACUUACUGACUUGAUCUUAGUUUUCUCUGGUGUAUCAAAUAUUUCCUUCACUC
rnacentral:lncRNA from 1 species